UUCUUAAGAAUACAGGGACUGGCUAUAGCAGAGUAAAUGCUACAGAAUGACAAGGUGGAUCUGAUUAGACUCAGCUGGCCAAUCAAGAAGCCUGAAAUCCUGGCUAGUCAGUCUACAGGAGAGCUCUGACUGAGAGACAUAGAGAGGUGUCUGUGAAUCCAACACACAGGAAUCUAUGAGCCUGUACACAUACAGUUGCCUGGGAAGAGUGUUUAGGUCACUGGGUAUAAAACAGGCCGCUGAAAAGCUGUUCUCCCUCCCAUUCAAGUUCGAAAUAAACUGCAAAUACAUUUCAGGCGAGUGAUAUACACAAGCGCUAUGAAUACACUGAAGUUACUGGAUCUUCAAUGAAAGGGAACUCAGUAUUGCUUUUCAGACAACACAGCAUGGAAAACAACUACUCUUUUUUUUACACUUUUAAAAGAAUUAUAGGUGGUGGAUCAUGGGGCGGACAACUGCAAUCUAAAUCCAGCAAAAUAUCAUUGCUUCUACUCACUCUCUAGGCUUUGUCCCCACGAAAAGGUGAGGACUCUCUAUUUAUACCAAAAGGAAAGGAGUUUUAUAGAGACUGGAAGGAAAUGAUGAUGUUUUGAUUCUUCAAAGCGCAACGUUCAUAAAAUUCCCCACGUACCAGAAGGUGAAAAUAAAAAAUCUGCAGAAAAUGUUCACAUUUUUUUUUCUUUAAAGAGAAAGAAACCAAGAAAAAUGCCU